AGCGAACGCUGGCGGCAGGCCUAACACAUGCAAGUCGAACGAAGUCUUCGGACUUAGUGGCGGACGGGUGAGUAACACGUGGGAACGUACCUUUUGGUUCGGAACAACUCAGGGAAACUUGAGCUAAUACCGGAUGAGCCCUUAGGGGGAAAGAUUUAUCGCCGAAAGAGCGGCCCGCGUUAGAUUAGCUAGUUGGUGAGGUAAAGGCUCAACAAGGCUAGGAUCUAUAGCUGGUCUGAGAGGAUGAUCAGACACACUGGGACUGAGACACGGUCCAGACUCCUACGGGAGGCAGCAGUGGGGAAACUUGCGCAAUGGGAGAAAGCCUGAUGCAGCCAUGCCGCGUGAAUGAUGAAGGUCUUAGGAUUGUAAAAUUCUUUUACCAGGGACGAUAAUGACGGUACCUGGAGAAAAAGCCCCGGCUAACUUCGUGCCAGCCGCCGCCGUAAAAC
rnacentral:rRNA from 1 species